CCGCACGGAACUCCGACGGACAUUCAGCGUUGAUCCUUUUAGUUUUCGCCACAAUCAUUGUGGUUGGUGAGUUGAUGGCAACAGUGAAAUGUCUCUCUGACUUAACUGUACAAAAUAAUACCAACCUGGCUGGAAUUGGUGCGGUUUUCGCGAGGCUAUUAAGGCUAGAAACGGAAAAAACAAGCGAAUGUCGAAUAUAAAACCAAUUUUACCGCGCCUCGGAAACCAAUGACAUGCAGUCAUUGGUUUGGAAAGUUUGAAGACACGGAGGAAAAAGUUUCGAAGAAGUAAAUUUGACCUAAUUCAGCGGUUAAGAGCUCAUUCCUCUGUAGGUCAGCAGCCCAAAACUCCAAGGAUUAAAGAGAGUGUUUGCAGUCGGUUUCCAAAUACCACAGAAGAACAAGUCAGAGCAGCGCUCUGAUCACCUAAAACAGACGCCAGCUCCAUGUGGUGUGGUGGGGGGGGAGCUACAGGAAAGACAGAACUUCCUCCUUCUGAAUUUUUUUCUAAAAGCCCCACAAAGUUCUUUAAAAACAAGUGUUUUUUAAAAACAAACGUUUUAAAUCUAUUUUUUUUAUUUUCCUUUUCGCAUUGCGAGGCAAAUUUCAUAAAACCAGUUAAAAGGUUGUUAAAAGUAUUUAUUUAAAAAAAAUUUUUACAUUUUGUCCACUCUUAUAUUGUGUAAUAUUUUGUUCAGUUUAUUUUGAAAUAUUUUAAUUUUUCCAAGUUCAAGGUUUAAAUUUAUGUUCUAUUUGUGUAACAUUAAAGAAAAAUAAUGCCAAGUC